GAGACGUAGCAGGCGCUUGACAUGUGCCGCUUGUCUGGGGGUUGCAGGCCUGCACUUGACGGUGAAUGUUCCUGGCACUAUUAUUGGUGGGGACAGUAUGUGUGAAAUGACUUUUUUAUGGUGGAUGUGCGCCGCAGGUGUGCAGAGAUGUUUUUCGCCGUUUCCGGGGGGACGAUGUGCCUGUCGGGUUCGUUUUUGUUGUUUAUAUUCUUUUUGUUCUUUAUGUUCAUGUUGUGUUCUGGAGUCCUUAACCGUUUUUGUUUGUGUGUGUGGAGCCUGAGGAUGGCAAGUGGUCUGUGUUGCCGAAAGCGUUUGUCUUAUUAAAUGUUUUGACCACAGCUGCAUUAGUGUAGAGCUUUAUUUUAUACGAGACAAUACCAUUUCCUACUCAGCAUCUCUUCAAAACUCCUGAAAACUUAAAAAUAAGAUGUUAAUUCUUGCUCGACCAUUUGUCUAAUCCUAUUGAUACUUACCUCUUCCUCGGGGCAGAGUCACACGGAAGGAUCUGGCUGUGAAAUACAGCCAAAAACCCUCCCCCACAGUCUUCUCCAGAAUCCUCGUGUUUCUGUUUCCGUCUGAGUGGAAACAGAAACACGAGUAACGUCGCGAUCGAGGACAGGGGGAACAACGUUUCCCCUUACGCGCCGAGACACUACAUCCUCGCGGGAGCGCCUGAACAGGGCCUCCACUGCGGGUUUUAGGACAGCACAUCGCUGCUGAUCGAGGACACGGGGAACAACGUUUCCCCUCACGCGCCGAGACACUACAUCCUCACGGGAGCGCCCGAGCAAGGCCUCCACUGCGGGUUUUAGGGCGGCACGUCGCUGCUGAUCGAAGACACGCAAAGCUUCCGCUUCCCGAUUGUUGUUUGACCCGGAAGCUUCGCCAGCAGGACUAGGUCGGUUGCGACUACGAAGCCACCAAGGUGGAACAUCCAAACAAAGGUACCUCGGCCGAGGGGCCGAAGAACCUCGCACCACUGCUCCACCAAACAGGUCGGCAAGCUCAUAGUCACUCAGCCUACGACUUGAACCGACUGCCAAGCAGGGGUCGGAGAAAGACCGCCGCCACACCACCACCGAGGGUACCUCGCCCUCGACCUCCGAGGAGGUCGAAGAAGCUACAGGACGAGUCCUCUUCUUCCAACACCGCCACGGGAACCAACACUAAAAGAAAUAUUAAGCAUUGUAUAAUUAGUCGUCCAUUAAUGAUAGCAUUUCAAAUUUAAUUACACUUCUAUAAUCAAGUAACUAUUUCAGCUUUCUAACCACUUUUAACUUGUUAAUAUGUAACUGAAUGGCAACGGAAAGAAAGCAAAGUAUAUAUCGUAUUCAGCUUCAGUUUUGUACAGUAUCCCUCCUAUAACACGGUAGAUAUCUAUAGGUUCCUCAAAAACACCAUGUUAUACGAGACCCGGAG
rnacentral:lncRNA from 1 species